AUGGAAGAAAUGGAGAGAGAUUAGGUCUGUAAAAGAGUCAAUAAGUGAAAGAUGCCUGGAGUGAUCAGCUGCAAGAGAACCUUGGACAAUUAACAUUAUUAAAUCCAUGGCAUGGAUUUAGCGGCAGAUGAAAUAAGCAUUCAGGCUGCUGUGGGAGAAGCAGAAAUGCAGAUACUAGCGGAUGAGCCACCCCUCAUGCCAGCGCAACAGCAACAGGUUGUUUUGCCGCAAUCAGUAUUCGCUAAUUUAAGGGGACCUCCGAUGACAAAAACAGUUCUUCUUUGCCAACAAAUUUACCUGCUUUUGAAUUACAGUGGUAUGAUGAUCCUCAGAAGUCUACUCAGAGUGAAAUGUUUCUCAAUGAUAAGAAUUUUUCAUUGGAAACUUCCAGAGAUCCUGGAUGCAGUGCUGGAGUUUCAGGGAUUUCAGUUCCACAUAAAGAACCGUCUAUGGCUUCAUCAUCUGCACAAGCUGAUGUAUUAAGUUGUGAAAGUCUCAGUUCUGGAGAAGUUGACAGGGCUUUGGGAAGUUACCCUUUGGAUUCCGAACCAGAAAAAAAAAAGAGGUUGAAACUUCAUUUGGUGGGAAUUCUCCUUCAUUCUGCUUAUAGUUCUGUGAUAAUAGGUGUCUGCAAUUGAAUCGACCAAUGAAUCCAAUUUCUAACAAUCUGCAAUUAGCACCAACAUCUGUUCGACAGAUAGUUGAAGAACAUGAAAUGCCAUUCCAGUGAAAUUGAUUUUUGUUGUUGAUACUGAUAAAAAACAAAAAAAUUAUCAUACUAGAAAUGUUUUACUAAAAAUGCCAAUGUAUACAUGAGGAUGAAAUUCAUUUAUGCUUGUAUCAAACAAUCCAUGAUAAUGUAAGAUAAGGGAACUUAAUUUUGACUAUAACUUUUGAAUUAGAUUUUGUUAACAUCAAUGUCGUAUGGAUGGCUUUUGUUUAUUAUUUUCAGAAAUAUAUGAUAUUAUAAUACUAGAUAUAACUUUUAAUUAAGUCAUAUUAGAUUACAGAAUUUUUUAAAAACUUGCUUUUGAAUGCAUCUUUUGUAUUUAUAUAUUACACAU